rnacentral:rRNA from 1 species
CUUGCUUCCACUGAGAAGAUAGUGGCGAACGGGGUGAGUAACACGUGGGUAACCCUGCCCAUAAGAGGGGGGAGUAACAUCCGAAACGGGUGGCUAAUACCGCAUAGUUUUCUUGAUCGCAUGAUCGGGAAAGGAAAGACGGCCUUUGUGCUGUCGCUUAUGGAUGGACCCGCGGCGUAUUAGUUAGUUGGUGAGGUAACGGCUCACCAAGACGAUGAUACGUAGCCGACCUGAGAGGGUGAUCGGCCACAUUGGGACUGAGACACGGCCCAAACUCCUACGGGAGGCAGCAGUAGGGAAUCUUCCGCAAUGGACGAAAGUCUGACGGAGCAACGCCGCGUGAGUGAAGAAAAGGUUUUCGGAUCGUAAAACUCUGUUGUCAGAGAAGAACAAGUUGGAGAGUAACUGCUCCAGCCUUGACGGUAUCUGACCAGAAAGCCACGGCUAACUACGUGCCAGCCGCCGC